AUUGAACGCUGGCGGCAUGCUUUACACAUGCAAGUCGAACGGUAACAGGCCGCAAGGUGCUGACGAGUGGCGUACGGGUGAGUAAUGCAUCGGAACGUGCCCAGUCGUGGGGGAUAACUACUCGAAAGAGUAGCUAAUACCGCAUACGAUCUAUGGAUGAAAGCGGGGGACCGUAAGGCCUCGCGCGAUUGGAGCGGCCGAUGUCAGAUUAGGUAGUUGGUGGGGUAAAGGCUCACCAAGCCAACGAUCUGUAGCUGGUCUGAGAGGACGACCAGCCACACUGGGACUGAGACACGGCCCAGACUCCUACGGGAGGCAGCAGUGGGGAAUUUUGGACAAUGGGCGCAAGCCUGAUCCAGCAAUGCCGCGUGAAGGAAGAAGGCCUUCGGGUUGUAAACUGCUUUUGUACGGAACGAAACGGCUCUGGUUAAUACCCGGGGCUAAUGACGGUACCGGAAGAAUAAGCACCGGCUAACUACGUG
rnacentral:rRNA from 1 species